ensembl:lncRNA
UUAUUAUUUAUUUGUUAUUAUUUUCUUCAUAAUUUUUUUUAUUUAUUGUUUAAAAAUAUUACUUUAUAUAUGUUCAUAUAUUAUAUCAAAUAUAUAAAUAUCACGUUAUAUAUUAAUAAAUUAUUAAAUGAAAUAUUAAAUUAAUUUAUAUUUUUAAAUAAUAAUAAUGCUUAAAUAUUGAUAAUAUUUUUAAAUAGUAUUAUGCGAUUUAUUGUAUUGUGUUUUGAUUAUUGAUCAAUGAUUUAUUUGUUUUGUGAUUUACUGAUCAAUGUAUUGUUGGCUAUAGACUGGUUUUGUGGUCCAGGGUCACAUAUUAAUUAAUUAAAAUAUUAAAUUAAUAUUUAUAUAAAUUAAUAUUUUUAAAUAAUAAUAUUAAUAAUGGUUAGAUAUUGAUAAUAUUUUAAAAUAAUAUAAUGUGAUUUAUUCAUUUGAGAAAUAAAUAUAUAGCUGAGAUUCCCAUGAAUUUAAAUAUAAACACUUAUUGUAUUAAUUUCCUACUGUGAGUAAUCUUUUCAAGAGAAUGUGUAAUAAUAUAUGUUCUGAAAUCACUUCACUCGACAACGAAAAUAAACCUGCUAUUCCUUGUAUUUCAAUUUGUGAUUUGGUAUUAUUUUAAUGGUUGUCUUUAUAUCUACAGUAUAACUUUCUCUCAGUCAGCAUGACUUCUGAAACGUAGUGGGAAUGUCCAAGUGCAGGAUCAACCAAGCAGAAAUCAGCAGACAGAUAUUAUAUUCCCUACAAUUUCAUCUGCAGUGUACAGAUCGUGUUUCCACCAGACCUGCGUCUUGUUCCGCUCUUGCUUUCCCGCUAAUCUCUGGAUCUCUUCGAGAUGUCAGGCUGUAAUUAAACAUUCCCUUUGUUACCGCGGUCUAACCUGAGCUGUGCUCUGAGCUAGACGGACCCAGAGAUCUGCCACAAUACCCACCGCACUGUUUCCAGCAAAUCACAUGACGAUGAGCUACUCUGAAGAAAAUGGGCAGCAGAAGGUGUCACCUUCAUCGGACCUGACACACAUGCUACUCAAACCAUGGGAGACAAGAUCAGGGGCAAAUUAAUCGCCAAGAUGCCAAGGUCAGUGUCGUGCCCCCAUACGCGUGGGCUGGUCAAGGUGAGCAGCAGACACACGUCUAUUCUUUCAGCCACCUCAAAUGACUCAUCUCACGUCUGUCGUACUGUCAUGAGGGCAUCAGGACUGAUGUGUGUGUUUAUAAAGACUAGGUGUUGUCAGUUAGCUGUCAGCUCUGGGAAUAACAGAUUAGGCCUUUUUUGAUGCGUUGCCACUGUGGCAAAUUCUUACCUCCCUUGGAAUGCGAUCCAGGAACUCGUUGUUUGUGGAUGGAAAUGUGUGCGUGUGGUUGGAAGGGCCGUUGCUAAUGAGGGAUGUUUUGAAAACAUUUAAAGCCCUAAUGAUGCUGCUCCAAGAGUAAAGCCUCUUCCGGGGGCUGUGAUUUAAGAUGGUUUGAGGCUGUGGAAAAAUUGUUUCACCCAAUUUAAUUCUUGCGUUCCUGUUGUUAAAAUAUUGGGGUUAGAGGCUAACACAAAGAUGAGGAGGUGAAGGACCCUGCCGCAUGCGUGUGUUUUUAAAGUAAAGAGUAUUAAAGCUCCUUCAAUAGCAGCUCUGCGAGUUCUCAGUUCUCCAUUUUGUCUCGAGAGCACUUAAUUGUCUGCAUUUGGCAAGUUUAACACUUCCUGACUUGAGUGGCCUCACUUGAAUGUCUUUGCAUAGCUUUUGGGGACAAAAGAAAGGCCUAGAUGCAGAACAAACACACACACACACACACACACACACACACACACACACACACACACACAAGCAUGCAAAUAUAUUAAAAAUCCAUAGUGACCGAAUGAAACAUGCCAAGAGAAAAUUUCCCACCGAGAAAUUUUGAGAUUUUAGCUGCGCCUAGUUCUGUCCGCCAGCCAAUUUUCCAUCAGGAAUCUCUCAUUAGCAGAUGUUUUUGGCCACAACACACACACACACCUCAGUGUGAUCUGGUGAACCCUAAAUUUAACAAGCGCUUACCAGAGCAGACGAGUUAAUGAAAGGAAAUGACCUUUUCUGCCAAUUUCCCCCUUCCAUUCAGGUGCUUUUUUAUGUCACAAUUUAAAAUGACAGAUACUUUUAUUUUGUACAAAAAAAAAAAACUGAUAAAUCUUUCCAAUGUUUUAUUAUUUCUGGGAAGCGCAUGAGUCAGGUAUUAACUGCAGUCAGAUGGCCACAUCUAUAUCUUGCUUGACCUGGUUUCCAAGACUUAUUGCCGACUUUAAGGUUUCUGAGGUGUCUGAUACUGGAAUGUAAGUUUUAAUUUCACUUUCAUUAACCUCAUUUUUUAUCAUUACAGCUUUUGAGUUGCUAAUAUAUUGAAUAAUUGUCCUUGAAUGAUUACUGUUCACAGUCUCAGUGUCCAUUCGCAACUAAAACUGCAAUCUGUUUGCUUAGUCAUUUUAGAAGACGGCGAUACAGGAUGAAGUUUAUUUACACCGCUGUCAUCUGUUCCCUGCAUAGCAACAAAGCCGAUGAUUUCCACAUAAGAGCAGUGGGGAGACUUGGGUAGACGGCCCCUUCAGAGCCCGCUGAAGUGAAGCCGUAGUUGGGUAUGUUGGCUGGUCUCGCCCGGCCGCCCCACAGCAGGUUUGAAGCCUCUUCUAUCUUUGCCUCAAAUCAAUAGAAGAGCUGCUCCCCCUGCUGCCUGUCUCACGCUACAACUUCCUCUUCCCUCACCUCUUCCAAUGGCACACAUCACCCUUCACAUUUCCUCUCCUUUUAUCCCCAUUUCUCUCUCUCUCUCUCUGCAGUGAAGCAGUCAGGAUGGUACCCGUUUGGCAGUGGCUGACAUGAGGUCUAUCAAGGAGGCCUGUUAGGCUAGUGGCAAGACGGAAACCCAUCUGGGAGGCCUUUUCCUAUGGAUGCAGACACGUUUACAAAUUAGCACUUCUCACAGGCCUGGGACCUGCUUUAUGAAGCCGAGUUUUCGGAGCACCCUGAAAGUGUGAAAGAGUUCCAGAGGGCAGAGCAUUUGGAGAAGUCUAGAUAAUGAGAUUCUUUUGUUAAUGCCAUUGAACUCGAUUCAAUUAGUGAAAAGGGCCCAUGUUUGUGACUAUUGCAUGCGCAGCAUACAGUGUGUUUCUGUAUGUAAUUGACUUUGGAAGCCCUCGAGGAGCAAACUUUUAGUGCGUUCAAACAUUCAAUGUUAUCGUCAAGCACAAAAGGAGAGCCAAAUAUGUCUUUUUUCUGUUUCUGUUUUUUUUUUUGUUUUGUUUUUCUUGAGCCAGCCUUUUCGUGAGCUGGUUUGGGGCUGAUCUUGUGUGCACUUGUGUGAUGUAUAGAUUAAUUAAAUAAGCAUAUUGAUUCCUGUUCUGGCAACACAGAGUGUGGGGUUUUAAUUAGCCCACGCUUGAGUGUGUUAAAAUCCCUGUCUUAUCUGUGUGGAACCAAGUGGAACUGAAUGCAUGAGGGCUGCUCAUCAACUCAAAAUCUCCAAUAACCUCCAAUUUCUUUUUUUCUUGUUUGUUUUAGUCCAACCCAAAUCACAAUCUUUAUC